UGCAAUGAAUGCUUAAAGCCUGUGCUUUUUAUUUUUUUUCUCUCUCUCCACAUUUGAGGCCUCUGGUUAAGUUCUAAUGGCUGAUAAUUAUUUGCGUUACUUAAUCACAGUGUUAAAAAUAAGAACUUUUUGGUUCUUAAAUCACUGAUAUUUAAGCUGAAAUGGUAACAAAGGCGUGUGGAAACCGUAAGGUCUGCGGUAGUGCAGAGGUUAUUCCAACGUCUCAGGAAGUUUCCACGAAGUUAGGACACCUGCCAACGAGUUCAGCUGUUGGCUGCAGAGGUUAAUGAAAAUGGGUUUUAGAGACACAGCUGGGGAAGCCAGCAGCAAGCAAUGUGGAAGGCUAGGUUCUUCAAUGGAGAGCGUUUGUAUGAGGAACCACAGCUAGACUAUAAGGAAGAUCCUUGUUCAAGGUCAGGCUUGACCAAUAGGCUUGCUUUUUUCCAGUGGAUCUUUACGCCACAUUGCGAUAGAGACACAAUGGAGCAGUCUCUGAAGCUGCUUCCUUCUCUGUAGUCAGAAAAGUUGCCAUUGUGCUUGGACAUGUUUUGUUGCACUCCGUGUUUGACUUUCCCUCUGAGAUGAAAGGAAGGAAAUACUUCUUACUUGACAAGCACUUGUGAAUGUGUCCUGGUUGUCAGGAGCACUCUGCUACAGUCACCCAACCAAACAAUUUCCUUUUUGAUGUAGCUGGCCAGAGCCACAAUGAGAGAACACAGAACUCCAGAUCUGUCCAAUCUCCCAAAUAUGUGGCACCCUUUGUCUUUGAUCGGCCACUGCAAUCUUGUUGUGCAUUUCAGUCCAUAAUGCAUGGACCUAUAAAUAGCUUAAUCUAACGUGUAAGCAGGGGGACAAAGGGGCCAACUCAGCCACCCAGCCAGCAACCAGCCGGCUGCAUACUCAGAAUUAGCCCCGUCCUCUACUAUCUGAGGUCAGCUUUAAAGGGAGCCCAUGGUGCACCCCUGCCCAGAUACCCCCAAAGGAAAGAUGAAAGUCCACCCUUCGCCACAGCAAUGAAAGGACUGUUUAGGUCUUCUGUAGGAUGUGUCUAAAUCUGUCAAGAGGGCUGAUCAGAGCGGGAGAGCAUGCUGUGGUUUCCCAGGAGCUUUCAUGCUGGUGAAGCUGCAGCCACUUGUCGCUUCGCUCCCCCCCCCCGGCUCGGCUGUCAUGUCAGGACACGAAUGCGGUUCCUACCCGGCCAUCCCUCGUUCGGCUGUAUAAAAUGUUCAACACAUCGCUGCAGUGGGGAAAACUCCUUUGCACGGAACUUGAGCUCACGGAGCGCUUUUGAGAGGAAUGUCUGAAUGUAAGGAAGAGUGUUGUGUCCCUGCAGUUUGUGGUCUGCCUGCUGUGGCUGAUCAAAUUAUAACAUAACAUGGUAGUCAAAGUGGACUUAAAACAUGUCUUUUAACAUAGAAGUUGUAUGUAGAGGAGUGUACAUUGCACAGCUUCUAAUUUUAAGUGUAUUUCUCUCUUUUGGUUAGCUUUUAAGCGAUAAUGUAGCAACUAAGGUCCUUAGGGUUCUAGCUCUUGCUCUAGACCCUGAGAGCUUUGCAGGAUUAAGUAAUAGUAGGUCAAUAUUCUUUUGUGUAUAAACACUUGACCUGUAGCUAUGUGCUGUAUAGUAUAGACACUGCAUUCCUCCUUCCCCCUGGCAGCAUGUGAUUCUAGGAAUUUAAAAUAAUAAUAUCACGUUCCACCAUAUAAGCCUUUAGCGCACGGGUAGUGUUACCUGAUGCAGUUGUUCACUUAUGUUAUUCUGGGUAACAAAACAUUGUUAAACAUCAAUUUUAUUGAAACACAAAAAUAUACUCCUACUUAUCUAUUUAUGACA